rnacentral:ncRNA from 1 species
GAUAAAACAACUCAUAUAGGUCCCAGAUAUGGUGGGAUGUUUCUACCGAAAGCCGUGAAUUUUCGACUAUGAGUGAACUUAGUA